rnacentral:tRNA from 1 species
ACAUUAUGAAGCUCAACGCGUUAACCUUUUAAGUUAAAGUAAGAGAAUACAUUUUCUCCAUAAUGGU